rnacentral:lncRNA from 1 species
GUAAACUGAGGCCUUAGUUAUCAACCAGGUGAUUUUAUUAAUUAAAUCAUUGAAGAAGGGUUGAAGAAUAAAUGAUAUGGCAGGACUCUUAAAGGCUUCCAGCCUUUUCUUGCUAAAACCCUAAAAUAAACUGUUUUUCCCAAAGACAUACACAGAACCAUAAUGUCCAAGGUUCUGGCUCAUUAGAGCUCAAAUGGGAAAGACACAGAGGCCAAGCAGCUUGCCAAGGUGAUGGGAAGUGAUACCACCAUUUGGUUUGAAAAGCCCCCACUUCCUUCCUCCUCUUCUGGCCAGAUUUUGUCCUUUCAGAACUUGUCCUUUCAGAUGGCCAUGCUUUAGUUUACUUAUCAAGAAGCAUAGCUUGCAUUUUAAUAAACAGAAUUGCCAUAAGAUUUUUAAAUAGUAACUAUGGGUUUACUUCUAGUUUUAACAAUAGUACAUUUUUACACUAGAUACUUUAGAAAGGAAAAACAAGCUCAAGAAAGAAAAAGCAAGUCACCUAUAAUGUUACCAACUUGAUAUAAUUACAUGAAGUAUUAUGAUGUAUGUGUAUGAUCAUUAAUUUUAAUCAAAAUGAUAAUGUCUAACUUUUUUUUUCCAGGAUUAUUUAUUUUUAUGCCACUCAACCUUGAGAGUAGAACAGUAGUUUUAUAAUUUAAUCCUUUAGAUAUAAAAUGGGCAUGUAAAAUAAGUUAGAAAGUACAGCUGAACUGUGACCAUUUAGGUUUUCAUUGAAAAAUAUUUGGAAAAAUGAAAGAUACAUAGAAGGACAAUUCCAUCACACAAAGAGAGUCAUCACAACCAUUUCUAUCAGCCAAAGGCCACUGGGACAAAACGGCAGUUUGAAAAAUCCCACUUACUGAUUUUUUGCAGUGAGGGAGACCACACACCACAGGAAUCAGGGGUUGUCCUACCAAAGAAGGGAAGAAAUGGACUGUUUCCCGGAUUUGAGAGACGCAGGGCUUGGAUAGGCACUGAGCAAAACAGGGAAGUAGGUAAAAGAAUCGACAUGAGGUCUGGGCUGCCAAGUAGAU